rnacentral:rRNA from 1 species
CGGGACGGGUGAGUAACGCGUGGGUAACCUGCCCUGUACAGGGGGAUAACAGUUAGAAAUGACUGCUAACACCGCAUAAGCGCACGGUAAGGCAUCUUAGUGUGUGAAAAUAUUCAUAGGUACAGGAUGGGCCCGCGUCUGAUUAGCCAGUUGGCAGGGUAACGGCCUACCAAAGCGACGAUCAGUAGCCGGCUUGAGAGAGUGAACGGCCACAUUGGGACUGAGACACGGCCCAAACUCCUACGGAAGGCAGCAG